rnacentral:rRNA from 1 species
AAGCACGACAAGGUUAAUCCGAGUGAUUUCUGCUAAAGAAAUCUUUUGCCAGUCGUAAAACCACUGGUGAAUAAGGGGUGGGCAAGUUCUGGUGUCAGCCGCCGCGGUAAAACCAGCACCUCAAGUGGUCAGGAUGAUUAUUGGGCCUAAAGCAUCCGUAGCCGGCUUUGUAAGUUUUCGGUUAAAUCCAUGUGCUCAACGCAUGGGCUGCCGAAAAUACUGCAUAGCUAGGGAGUGGAAGAGGUAGACGGUACUCAGUAGGUAGGGGUAAAAUCCUUUGAUCUAUUGAUGACCACCUGUGGCGAAGGCGGUCUACCAGAACACGUUCGACGGUGAGGGAUGAAAGCUGGGGGAGCAAACCGGAUUAGAUACCCGGGUAGUCCCAGCUGUAAACGAUGCAGACUCGAUGAUGCAUUGGCAUAAUAGCCAUUGCAGUGUCGCAGGGAAGCCGUUAAGUCUGCCGCCUGGGAAGUACGUACGCAAGUAUGAAACUUAAAGGAAUGGCGGGGGAGCACCACAAGGGGUGAAGCCUGCGGUUCAAUUGGAGUCAACGCCAGAAAUCUUACCCGGAGAGACAGCAGAAUGAAGGUCAAGCUGAAGACUUACCAGACAAGCUGAGAGAG